rnacentral:RNase_P_RNA from 1 species
AUUAGGUAAUUGCGGCAAGAAAUUGCUGAGGAAAGUCCAUGCUCGCACCGACUGAGAUGUCGGUAGUGUUCGUGCUUAGCGAAACCAUAAGCUAAGGUACCUUUUAGGUAACGGCAGGAAAAAAAUCCUAAGGGAAACUACGGAUGAGUAUCCUUGAAAGUGCCACAGUGACGAAGUGUUUUAGGAAACUAAAACAGUGGAACGCGGUAAACCCCUCGAGCGAGCAACCCAAACAAUGGUAGGGGCGCUUUUCUAACGGAAUUAAACGUGUGGAAGAGGCGAGAAAUCGGAGAUAGAUAAUUACCCACGUGUCUUUUUGCCUGGAAAGACAUGGGACAGAACAUGGCUUAUAG